CUCCUUAUGUAAGGGGGGUACUUUUGAAUUAGAUGAUCAAUGGAGCAUAGAGGCGUGAGAACGAAAUCAUAUUAGGAUGUGAAACCAGCUAGAGUAUGGUACAAUGUAACUUAUGGCAGAAGCUAAUUGUAAGGUCCAUUGUGCUUUUUAGCAAGUCAGCUUGAUAUCCCCUAUUAUCAGAGCUGAGUUUUUUCUUGGUUUUGCUACAUAUUGCAAGAUAGAUACAUCUACCCUUGAAACACAAUGGUAGAGGUCAUACAUAGGGGUGAGAAAGAUGAUGAUGGGAGGAAGAUGAUGUGGGCAGGGGUCGCUCGCCCCUUGCCCUAGAAGUAGGGCAUGCGCAGACUGUUGCCAUGAGGUAAUGAUCAGGCGGUGUUUGGCUGCCAUUCAGGCAUCACCUUAUACUACGUACUGGCCCUAUGUAGUGUAAUGUGGAACUGAUAAAAAUGGGGUGUUGGAACUGCUGAGCUGAGCGAUACUCAUCCUACCACCGAGACUGUGUUGCUCCGCGGGGACGCCCGCUAAGCAUGGGUACCGACCAGCUGCUGCAGAUCCUGACAGCCCUGGCCUGUCUGUGUGGGUAAGCACAGUUUUUUGAUAGGAAGCAACUGAGAGAACAAAUUUUUUAAUAACCUUUUAGUGUUCCUUUAACUCCCCUUUUAUGUUUAUAGUAUUUUUCCUUUAGUCUCCCUUUUUACUAACCAACAUCGUGUUAUCCAUAAUAUUGUGUUAAGAUCCUUUUUUGGUAUCCCUUUUCACUAGUUAAUACUGUAUGAAAUGCUGUUCGUAGUAUUUGUUUUAAUGCCACCCGAUAAGGUAGUUAUUUUGUAUCCUUUUUUAGUUUUUUAUUCCUCUUGCUAAGUUUAUUACUAUUAUUAUUAUUCUCACUGUAAUAAAAGAUAUUUUGUGUGCUUGAGUA